AAUAUAGCAAUGAAGAAGAGAGUAGAUUCGUUGAUGCGUUCAGAGAGUCCGGGGUGCUGUGAACCGGAUCGUUAAUGCGGGUUGAAGUUCACUUUGGAGCUUGGCAGUGAAGCAGCAGUAGUUGUCACGUUGGCGGCGUUAACGCGUUUGAGUAUCAAUUAGGGUGGUACCGCGGAAUAAAGCUUUCGCCCCUUGC
rnacentral:ncRNA from 1 species